rnacentral:misc_RNA from 2 species
AACGCAUCUUGCGCCCUUUGGUAUUCCGAAGGGCAUGCCUGUUUGAGUGUCAUGAAAACAUCAUCCCAUCGGGUUUCCGAUGACGAUGGAUUUGGGUGUUGCCGUCCGGCUCGCCUCAAAAGCCUUAGUGAUUCCGAGGUCGAAUCUGGCGUAAUAAGUUUCGCUGGCCAAGACUGAGAGGACCGCUCAUAACCCGUCUUCUGACAUUUUUUGCUCUGACCUCAAAUCAGGUAGGACUACCCGCUGAACUUAA